GCCAAACUAGGGAAGUAAUGGCAACUUGCAGCGUGAAUAGUGCAGUAAUGUAUGGCAACAAAUUGAUUCUUUAAUUUCAACGAUUUUUUUUACAGUUCUUGAGUUAACUGAGAGUCAAGAAUUUUAGUAAUAAUAUCAAGUGGUAAUUACUUGAGCACAAAUUUUUUAAACUCACUGUAGCUUAAUUUUAUGAGGAUGGAGACCAAGAUAGUCAUAUAGGCUUCACUUUAUUUUCCUUUGAUCUGCGAGUUACCUUUUAAGAUCAUGAAAAAAGACACCACUGUAUGAUUUAUAUUCAAAACGCCUAACAGCACCGCCACCACACUUCAUUCCGUUUGCAAAGUAAUGGAUUUUUAGAUUACGAAAUAUUUUAUUUUCACUAUAUGAAUAACUGACAAGCUGAUACUCAAUUAACAAAAUGGCUGUCAGAUAAGAUUUCUAUCCAUAGCUAAAGCGAUUUACCUUUAAUAAAUAUUUCAUUUAUACAGUCGAAUAGUUACGAAUACAACUCACUAGUGAUUUGUGCUACACGACAUCACUACUGAAAUUUUCACUUUAAACUACACUACUCAUAUGAUUUUUAUUGAUCACUUUCGAUCUACGACAGCGUGAUUAUUUGAAGCAAAUGAAGAUCUUUAUGUAAUAACCCUAAAAAACAUCUUAUCACUCAUUGGAAACCUCUCAUAGUGAAAUGUAAAACCUGUGCAAGCAGGAGUAUAAAAAAUCGAGCUGCAAAGGGCCGUCUGAUAUUACAUGGGUACUAAGUUUCAUACUUUAGAGUCGACUUCUCAUAUGCAAUGAAAGAAGCGAGCGUAAACGCUACACUUCGCAUCCUUUCCUCAUUAGUAGACGGAUAGGAAUAGUGUUAGAGCGGGAAUUUUUAAAGAUGGGUUAGACGAGAUAAUCUUAUGACAUUCCACCUUUUUCCUUCAUACUACAUUGAACAAAGGUCGCAGCUAAAUAAAAGCCACACGGCAAACUUACAAAGUCAACAUAUAAUUAACUAUUAAUCAUUUCAUUCUAAUUUUGAAUAUUUAUAAAAGAGAGAAAAAAAACAGCGAAGAAAAAUCUUGUAGAAAUAAAUAGAU